rnacentral:rRNA from 1 species
UACGUAGGGGGCAAGCGUUGUCCGGAUUCAUUGGGCGUAAAGAGCGUGUAGGCGGCCAGGUAGGUCAGUUGUGAAAACUGGAGGCUCAACCUUCAGAGGUCGACCGAAACCAUCUGGCUAGAGUCCGGGAGAGGAGAGUGGAAUUCCUGGUGUAGCGGUGAAAUGCGUAGAUAUCGGGAGGAACACCUGUGGCGAAAGCGGCUCACUGGACCACAACUGACGCUGAGGCGCGAAAGCUAGGGGAGCAAACAGG